rnacentral:lncRNA from 1 species
AGUGCUUCCCUGCCUCGUCGCCGUCUCCCUUCACGGUACUUCAGUCCAGUGUCCCCACUGUUCCUGGGGCUCGCCAGGCGCCCUCUCCCCCGCCCCCUGCCCGGUGCAGCGCUCUCCCGACGCCCGCGUGGCUUUCUUCCAGGUCUUUGCUUAAAUGUCAGCUUACAAGGUCUUCUCUGCUGCCCUCCUGCUCCGUGGCACUGAUUCCCACCCGAUGCACUGUCACGUCAGCUGCGCAGCAAAGGGAUUUUUGGACCCACAGCAGCGCCUGACACACAGCAGGCAUUCCCUCUGCGCUGCGGAAUACAGGCAGACCUGGGGCUCAGGGCGCUGUCUGGGCCUCACUGGGACCCGUGGGGUCAGACAGAGGCUGAGGUCUGUGGGUUGCGGCCUUGUUUCCAAGAUGCUCCGCGGGCUGACGGCCCAGGCGCCUCUCGGGUGCGGAGAGGGCAGGAAACCUAACCCCUGCUUCCAAAUUUAAUCAGUAGAAACGGUAUCAUCACCCAGCGCAGGCCAGGAUCAUUUCUGAGGUUAGUUCUGGCCCAAUCAUGCAUGUAUUUCUUUUUUCUUUUUUUUUUUUUUUUUGAGACGGAGCCUCACUCUGUCACCCAGGCUGGAGUGCAAUGGCCCGAUCUCGGCUCACUGCAACCUCCGCCUCCCGAGGGUUCAAGCGAUUCUCCCGCCUCAGCCUCCCGAGUAGCUAGAACUAAAGGCACCCACCACCACACCGGCUAAUUUUUGUAUUUUUAGUAGAAACGGGGUUUCACUGUAUUUGGCCAGGCUGGUCUUGAACUCCUAACCUCGUGAUCCGCCCACCUCGGCCUCCCAAAGUGCUGGGAUUACAGGCGUGAGCCACUGUGCCCGGCCUCAUGCAUGUAUUUCUUUCUUCACUCAACACUCAUUAAGCACCUACUGCAUACCAGACCCUAUGCUGAAUGCACGCAGAUACCCCCAGCCCCAUGAGAUUGGACUGGAGCAUGGGACUCGAGGGUGACUCUGGCUCUGCCUGGGGAAAGAGAGAGAGGGAUUCCAAGGGGCAGACCAAGCCCAGGUAGACCACGUCCCAGGCAGACCAAGCCCAGGUAGACCACGUCCCAGGCAGACCAAGCCCAGGUAGACCACGUCCCAGGCAGACCAAGCCCAGGUAGACCACGUCCCAGGCAGACCAAGCCCAGGUAGACCACGUCCCAGGCAGACCAAGCCCAGGUGGGCCACGUCCCAGGCAGACCAAACCAAGGCAGACCAAGUGGCUGUGUCUUCACUCCUCCCAACCCCCCUGGGCAGAAAGAACUGCAACUGGCCCCAUUGCACCAAUGAGGAAACUGAGGCCUGGGGAGGAAGCUGAUUGCCCGAGGCGGCAGCUUUGGGGCUGGACUGUGGCUGCCUCCUAAGGAAGGAAACAGCCCCUCCCUCCACCCUCAUCCUGGCAGGGAUUGGGCCACCGUUACUUCAUCAAGUGUCCUGGAGCCUCCGCUGUGUGCCAGGAGCGGGGGGCCUGUGCCAAAAAUGUCUGCCAAAACCAGCCAUCCACCCAACAGUAUCCAGCACCAUGACUGGAAGAAUAAAGGCCCCAAACAGGGCCAGGGGCGGUGGCUCAUUCCCGUAAUCCCAGCACUUUGGAAGGCCGAGGUGGGUGGAUCACCUGAAGUCAGGACUUCGAGACCAGCCUGACCAACAUGGAGAAACCCUGUCUCUACUAAAAAUACAAAGUUAACCAGGCAUGGUGGCGGGCAUCUGUAAUCCCAGCUACUCGGGAGGCUGAGGCAGGGGAAUCACUUGAAUCUGGGAGGCAGAAGUUGCAGUGAGCCAAGAUCGUGCCAUUCCACUCCUGCCUAGGCAACAAGAGCAAAACUCCAUCUCAUUAAAAAAAAACUAGCCAGGCAUGGUGGUGCCUGCCUGUAAUCCCAGGUACUUGGGAGGCUGAGGCAUGAAAAUCACUUGAACCCGGGAGCAGAGGUUGCAGUAAGCUGAGAUUGCACCACUCCACUCCAGCCUGGGAGACACAGUGAGUGAGACUCCAUCUCAAAAUAAAUAGAUAAAUAAAGUCCCCAAACACACUUGAUUUUAGCCCAGCACGACUCAUGUCUGUUGCGGGAAGUCACGGACCCCGAACGGAGGGACCGGCUGGAGCUGCAGCAAAGGAACAUAAAUUGUGAAGAUUUCAUUUUAAUAUGGACAUUUAUCAGUUCCCAAAUUAAUACUUUUAUAAUUUCUUACGCCUGUCUUACUCUAACCUCUUAAGCCUGUUAUCUUCGUAAGCUGAGGAUGUACGUCACCUCAGGACCACUGUGAUAACUGUGUUAACUGUACAAAUUGAUUGUAAAACAUGUGUUUGAACAAUAUGAAAUCAGUGCACCUUGAGAAAAAACAGAAUAGCAGCAAUUUUAGGGAACAAGGGAAGACAACCAUAAGGUCUGACUGCCUGCAGGAUCGGGCAAAAAAAGCCAUAUUUUUCUUUUUGCAGAGAGCCUAUAAAAGGACGUGCAAGUAGGGAGGAUAUCGCUAAAUUCUUUUCUUAGCAAGGAAUAUUAAUAUUAAUACCCUGGGAAAGGAAUGCAUUCCUGGGGAGAGGUCUAUAAACAGCCGUUCUGGGAAUGUCUGUCUUACGUGGUUGAGAUAAGGACUGAGAUACACCCUGAUCUCCUGCAGUACCCUCAGGCUUACUAGGGUGGGGAAAAACUCCACCCUGCUGAAUCUGUGGUCAGACGUUUCCCUGUUUUCUGUUGUUCAAGAUGCUUAUCAAGACAAUACGUGCACUGCUGAACAUAGAGCCUUAUCAGUAGUUCUGUUUUGCCUUUUGUACUGUUCCCUCAGAAGCAUGUGAUCUUUGUUCUGUUUUUUGCCGUUUGAAGCAUGAGAUCUACUCCAUGUUCUUACACCCCCUCCCCUCUUGAAACCCGUAAUAAAAAACUUGCUGGUUUAAGGCUCAGGGGUGCAUCACGGUCCUACCGAUAUGUGAUGUCACCCCCGGCGGCCCAGCUGUAAAAGUCC